GGUACGGGUUCGGAAACGUUGACACUGNCUUAUUGGGGGAUACUUCGAAAGGAAUUAUACCCCAUAUNUUUGAUGGCUCAUCGACAUUGAAACUCCGGUGGAUAGAGAUGGGCACGCGCAAGAUUAGAUAGUUGGUGAGGUAACGGCUCACCAAGUCUACGAUCUUUAGGGGGGCCUGAGAGGGUGAUCCCCCACAUUGGUACUGAGACACGGACCAGACUCCUACGGGAGGCAGCAGUGAGGAAUAUUGGACAAUGGGUGAGAGCCUGAUCCAGCCAUCCCGCGUGAAGGACGACUGCCCUAUGGGUUGUAAACUUCUUUUGUAUAGGGAUAAACCUACCCUCGUGAGGGUGGCUGAAGGUACUAUACGAAUAAGCACCGGCUACUCCGUGCCAGCAGCCGCGGUAAUACGGAGGGUGCAAGCGUUAUCCGGAUUUAUUGGGUUUAAAGGGUCCGUAGGCGGAUCUGUAAGUCAGUGGUGAAAUCUCACAGUUAACUGUGAACUGCCAUUGAUACUGCAGGUUCUUGAGUGUUGUUGAGUACUGGAUAGUAGUGUAGUGGAAUGCUUAAAUUUACUAAACCCAUGGAAGGGGGUACUAA
rnacentral:rRNA from 1 species